rnacentral:rRNA from 1 species
AUUGAACGCUGGCGGCAUGCCUUACACAUGCAAGUCGAACGGCAGCACGGGAGCUUGCUCCUGGUGGCGAGUGGCGAACGGGUGAGUAAUACAUCGGAACGUACCCUGAAGUGGGGGAUAACGUAGCGAAAGUUACGCUAAUACCGCAUAUUCUGUGAGCAGGAAAGAGGGGGAUCGCAAGACCUCUUGCUUUAGGAGCGGCCGAUGUCGGAUUAGCUAGUUGGUGGGGUAAAGGCCCACCAAGGCGACGAUCCGUAGCGGGUCUGAGAGGAUGAUCCGCCACACUGGAACUGAGACACGGUCCAGACUCCUACGGGAGGCAGCAGUGGGGAAUUUUGGACAAUGGGCGCAAGCCUGAUCCAGCCAUGCCGCGUGAGUGAAGAAGGCCU